UAAAGUAUAGAUCUAUAGACU
rnacentral:piRNA from 1 species